rfam:Camelus ferus unplaced genomic scaffold scaffold1505, whole genome shotgun sequence.
GAGGGUAUAGUUCAGUGAAAGAGUGCGUUCCUAGCAUGCAUGAGGCCCUGGGUUCAAUCCCCAGCACCUCCA